GUGGGUGUAGCUCAGUAGCAGAGAACUUGCCUGGUGCAUGCAAGGUCCUGGGUUGGAUUCCCAGCACCCACC
rnacentral:tRNA from 1 species